rnacentral:lncRNA from 11 species
UUCCACAUCAUCAGGUCGAACAAGCUGGAACGAAUCCUAGAAAUUAAAUGGCAGAAAGAAGAUCAAGUUACUAGUCAAAUAAUAGAGAGAGGGACAACACACCUGGAAAUUCCUGGGCCAUGGAUGGAUCCAAAGGCUAUGUAAUCCUCAAGUUGUCCUGACCCACCUGCCGAGCCUCUGUAGCCAUGGACCAUGUUGGGAAGGAAAUGGAAA